CCUACGGGUGGCUGCAGUGGGGAAUAUUGGACAAUGGGCGAAAGCCUGAUCCAGCCAUGCCGCGUGUGUGAAGAAGGCCUUCGGGUUGUAAAGCACUUUCAGUGGGGAAGAAAGCCUUGGGGCUAAUACCCUCGAGGAAGGACAUCACCCACAGAAGAAGCACCGGCUAACUCCGUGCCAGCAGCCGCGGUAAUACGGAGGGUGCGAGCGUUAAUCGGAAUUACUGGGCUUAAAGCGCGCGUAGGCGGUCUGAUAAGCCGGUUGUGAAAGCCCCGGGCUCAACCUGGGAACGGCAUCCGGAACUGUCAGGCUAGAGUGCAGUAGAGGAUGGUAGAAUUCCCGGUGUAGCGGUGAAAUGCGUAGAGAUCGGGAGGAAUACCAGUGGCGAAGGCGGCCUUCUGGACUGACACUGACGCUGAGGUGCGAAAGCGUGGGUAGCAAACAGGAUUAGAUACCCGAGUAGUC
rnacentral:rRNA from 1 species